ensembl:lncRNA
CAAUGGCUUCUGCAGCUCUUAGGAUCCACAGGAAUCUGGUGUUUGACAAUACACUCCCAACACAUCUGUUUUGUUUUUCUGUUUUGGUUUUAUUUUACUGUUGAAAUUAGGAGUUUCCAUUUUAGCCCCCCUCCUCCACCCUCCCCUCUCCCCCCCUUUUUAAUUGCUUUCUCCCCUCCUCCACACUUUAUUCUUUCGGCACAGGGCUGCCACUUACCAGCUGUUCACAAUUCCUUCACCCCUUCUGCUUUUCAGUACUAGAUUACCACGACAUACACUCAAAGGAUAUUUUCUUCCUUGCAGGAGGUCCCUGCUUCCCAUACCCACUGAAUACAUUUAACAAAAAUACUUUUCUCUCUCUUUUGUAUCUUGGAGGGAAGUCAUCAUAUCUGCACUCAUUCCAUGAUUCAGAUUGGCCAAUCUCUAAUUGCUUGAGUUUGAUUUCUUGUCUGUUUUCAGAUCCCAGGACUGCUGAUUAUUCCUUCUCCUUGGUAGACCAAGCUCACCCACAAACAAUCUGCUCCCGAUUCUUCCUGCACAGUGCCCUUCCAAAAGUUUGAUAAGGACCAAAGGAACGGAUGAGAAAGGGAGGCAGUAAAAGUAACAGAUACAUGGCAUGCUGCGGGCUGCUAUCUGCAGGUGAGUGCUCCUAGUGCCAAGCACAAGGGAAAGGCACAGGCACUGUCUCCGUGCCCUCUGCCCCUCAGAGCC